rnacentral:rRNA from 1 species
AUUGAACGCUGGCGGCAGGCCUAACACAUGCAAGUCGAACGAGUGGCGGACGGGUGAGUAAUGUCUGGGCAACUGCCUGAUGGAGGGGGAUAACGACUGGAAACGGUAGCUAAUACCGCAUACCAUCAGAUGUGCCCAGAUGGGAUUAGCUUGUGGGUGGGGUAACGGCUCACCAAGGCGACGAGCCCUAGCUGGGCUGAGAGGAGUACCAUCCAACCUGGAACUGUGCCACUGUCCAGACUCCUACGGGUGGCAGCAUUGGGGAAUAUUGCACAAUGGGCGCAAGCCUGAUGCAGCCAUGCCGCGUGUAUGAAGAAGGCCUUCGGGUUGUAAAGUACUUUCAGCGGGGAGGCGUUACCCGCAGAAGAAGCACCGGCGAACUCCGUGCCAGCAGCCGCGGUAAUUC